rnacentral:rRNA from 1 species
AUGCCACCAACCUCCCACUCCACUCACGCCACCCACCCCGAGCCAGAUCUAGAUCGAGACCCCCUCCACCGGCGGCCCCCCGUCCCGUCCCCCACCGGCGGCCUCCUGUCUCCCCUUCCUCAACCUCCUCUCCUCUCUCCUCAACCUCCUCUCCUCUCCUGGGCUCCGCCCACACGGGAAACUGCUGCUCGGCGUCUCCAGCAAUCAAGCAGCAGCCAAGGCCGGGCUCCCAGCCUCCGCGCGGCGUCGUCUCUCCCUUCCCCGCCGUCAUAUGUCACCGUCGUCGUCGCGAUCCGGCCCUCCGCGCCACAGCGGUAA